rnacentral:rRNA from 1 species
CCCUUUAAUGUUUGAUGUUCUAACGUGGACCCGUAAUCCGGGUUGCGGACAGUGUCUGGUGGGUAGUUUGACUGGGGCGGUCUCCUCCUAAAGAGUAACGGAGGAGCACGAAGGUUGGCUAAUCCUGGUCGGACAUCAGGAGGUUAGUGCAAUGGCAUAAGCCAGCUUGACUGCGAGCGUGACGGCGCGAGCAGGUGCGAAAGCAGGUCAUAGUGAUCCGGUGGUUCUGAAUGGAAGGGCCAUCGCUCAACGGAUAAAAGGUACUCCGGGGAUAACAGGCUGAUACCGCCCAAGAGUUCAUAUCGACGGCGGUGUUUGGCACCUCGAUGUCGGCUCAUCACAUCCUGGGGCUGAAGUAGGUCCCAAGGGUAUGGCUGUUCGCCAUUUAAAGUGGUACGCGAGCUGGGUUUAGAACGUCGUGAGACAGUUCGGUCCCUAUCUGCCGUGGGCGCUGGAAGACUGAGGGGGGCUGCUCCUAGUACGAGAGGACCGGAGUGGACGCAUCACUGGUGUUCGGGUUGUCAUGCCAAUGGCACUGCCCGGUAGCUAAAUGCGGAAAAGAUAAGUGCUGAAAGCAUCUAAGCACGAAACUUGCCCCGAGAUGAGUCUUCCCUGAGACUUUGAGUCUCCUGAAGGAACGUUAAAGACGAUGACGUUGAUAGGCCGGGUGUGUAAGCGCAGCGAUGCGUUGAGCUAACCGGUACUAAUGAACCGUGAGG